rnacentral:rRNA from 1 species
CAGUAGCCGCGGUAAUACGUAGGGUGCAAGCGUUAAUCGGAUUUACUGGGCGUAAAGCGUGCGUAGGCGGCUUCUUAAGUCGGAUGUGAAAUCCCUGAGCUUAACUUAGGAAUUGCAUUCGAUACUGGGAAGCUAGAGUAUGGGAGAGGAUGGUAGAAUUCCAGGUGUAGCGGUGAAAUGCGUAGAGAUCUGGAGGAAUACCGAUGGCGAAGGCAGCCAUCUGGCCUAAUACUGACGCUGAGGUACGAAAGCAUGGGGAGCAAACAGGAUUAGAUACCCGCGUAGUCCCUGUCUCUUAUAC